GAUUGUUGACAUGAAGUCCGUAAAGGAGCGCGAUGUUGCGGGGAUGGUGGCAUUUGAGCUGGCGCUGCAGUACAGCUUCAUCCGGCAAGAUCGCUCCUACCACUUUGUGCAGCUGCUGACGGCGCUGUGCUCCUUCGUGUUCUUCUCACAGCUGACGGCUCUCAAUGUGCUUCUCGUUCUUCCGCCGCUGCUGCCGUCAGUGGAGCCGCAUGUGGAAUUUCUGCGCGCCUACAGUCAUCCACUCUUGGCGGUACUUUCUCUGGUGGCGCUGUUGCUGAUCCGGGCCAGCAAGAAGCGCUUCAUCAUCGAGCCCGGAGAGCACACGAUGGAACGGCUCAACCGCGACGUUCUGGAACCGUGCCUCGGCAUGAAGUUCGAUGCGCGCACAGGAAUGCUGUUCUCCGACUGCCGCGCUGGCAGUCUGCGCGGGCGAGAGAACUACUAUUCCCUUCGCUACCUCGAUGACCCACCGCAGUCCCUAGCUUCCGCGAGAGAGACGGAAGCUUGAGGACGGAGGAAGAAAGUUGGAGCUCGUGUUUGAGGGCAGCCAAUACGGAACGAAGCGAAGGAAAAACAAAACAGCGUGCCAUGCGCGUCUGCUGAGUAACGAGAACCGAAACAAAGCACACCAACGUGCUGAUGCGAUGACAUGAAGUCCAUAGGCAAGCAUCCAGUCAAACAGCGCCGAAGCUCGUUUUUUUUUUCUUCGGUUAGUUGAGGGCAACCGCCGACUGUGCCGCUGCACAGAGGACGCACUGAAAGAGGGACACGUGCUUUACGGCGGCGCGCAUCAGCCGCGUGUGUAUGUCUCUGUCUGUAGGCUAAUGCGCAUGGGCUCGACGAUGGGCGGUGAAUAGGGGUGGGGGUGGGGAGGCGCGAGAAAGUUCUGAAGAGGCGUCACGAUCGCGUUGCAGCUGGCUUCUCUUUCUGUCUGUCGUCUCUUUCGCCGCUCACUACCUGUCAUCCUCCCCUCUGGUGCCAACGGAUUCACCGCUGCUGCGACUCAACAUCAAAUGCCAGGGAGGCUUGCUUUCGUACUUCGCAUGUACGGUUGUUCGCCCCUUUCCCUCGUAGCCUUCCAACCCCCUCCCCCGACUCUUCUGUCUUUAUCUGCCUCGUGGCGUUUUACUAUGUCGAUUUUUUUUUUCGUGGCACAUCUCCGCACUCCCUCGUCUCAG
rnacentral:misc_RNA from 1 species